CAAAAACCGCGGCGGGAAACACUGGGACUUUGUCGUGUCAUUCUCCUGCCGCGCUUACUGAGGCGGCAGGGGAUUUGUCUAUUAUGUUUUUAUACAGAAGACUUGAAAACAUCAAAGUUGUCCAGCAGUGUUGGCUGAUUUACUUGGAUACCAUUGACAAGAUGGACCACAUCCGUUCAGACACCUUCUUGAAGCUAACAGACACAUCCCCACUUGGCACAUAGUUGAUAAUUGAUGUUUGCUUUGUUUAAAUACUUGUUUUACUAGCUAUAAGGUAUUAUGUAAGUUUAUAUUAUUGUUCUUAUUUUGGGGCAAGGAAUAGCUCAGUGGUUUGAACAUUGGCCUCUUAAACCCAGGGUUGUGAGCUCAAUCCUUGAGGGGGACAUUUAGGGAUCUGGGGCAAAUCUGUCAGGGAUGGUACUUGGUCCUGCUGUGAGGGCAGGGAACUAGAGUCAAUGACUUUUCAAGGUCCCUUCCAGUUCUAUGAGAGAGGUAUAUCUCCAUAUAUUAUAUUAUCUAUCCAGGGGGGUUCAGGAUCUCCUCCACCCAAUCACUUCAUCUGCCCAUUGAACAUCCUAUAUAAUUAAUUGUAACCUAUUGGUUGGCAGUGUUCACUGAGCUUAACAGGCAUAUGAUGUGACACUCCGCCAGCACUGUGUGUUUAAUAAACUUUCCUGCUUGCUUCAUACACUGGUGUCCAGAUUCUGUUCCUACACCUAAAAAACAGGUGAACACUUGAACCCACCCCCAGGGGAACACCAAGCUCUUUUGCACCAAAAGAGCUUGAAAAAAGAAAAGGGAAAAGCAAGCUGCAGUCUCUGGUAGCUGAUCUCUCAGUCUGAGGCAUGCAGACACACAGGCAGACCUUCAGUACCUUUCAGGACACAGAAGCAAAUCCUUGCAUGGUGACAAGUAUUGGAGGGAUAGCUGUGUUAGUCUGAAUCUGCACAAACAACAAGAAGUCCUGUGGCA